rnacentral:rRNA from 1 species
UACAGAGGUCUCAAGCGUUGUUCGGAUUCAUUGGGCGUAAAGGGUGCGUAGGUGGCAGGGUAAGUCGGAUGUGAAAUCCCGGGGCUCAACCUCGGAACUGCAUUCGAUACUGCUUUGCUGGAGUACUGGAGAGGAGAUUGGAAUUUACGGUGUAGCAGUGAAAUGCGUAGAUAUCGUAAGGAAGACCAGUGGCGAAGGCGGAUCUCUGGACAGUUACUGACACUGAGGCACGAAGGCCAGGGAGCAAACGGG